rnacentral:rRNA from 2 species
GUCUGCUGUGAAAGCCCUCAGCUCAACUGAGGAAGUGCAGUGGAAACUACAAAACUUGAGUACAGAAGAGGAAAGUGGAACUCCAUGUGUAGCGGUGAAAUGCGUAGAUAUAUGGAAGAACACCAGUGGCGAAGGCGGCUUUCUGGUCUGUUACUGACGCUGAGGCUCGAAAGCAUGGGUAGCGAACAGGAUUAGAUACCCUGGUAGUCCAUGCCGUAAACGAUGAAUACUAGGUGUUGGAGGGUUUCCGCCCUUCACUGCCGCAGCUAACGCAUUAAGUAUUCCGCCUGGGGAGUACGACCGCAAGGUUGAAACUCAAAGGAAUUGACGGGGGCCCGCACAAGUGGUGGAGCAUGUGGUUUAAUUCGAUGCUACGCGAAUAACCUUACCAGCUCUUGACAUCUUCUGCCAACCCAAGAGAUUGGGCGUUCCCUUCAGGGACAGAAUGACAGGUGGUGCAUGGUUGUCGUCAGCUCGUGUCGUGAGAUGUUGGGUUAAGUCCCGCAACGAGCGCAACCCUUAUUAUUAGUUGCCAGCAUUUAGUUGGGCACUCUAGUGAGACUGCCGGUGAUAAACCGGAAGAAAGUGGGGACGACCUCCAAUCAUCAUGCCCCUUACGAGCUGGGCUACACACAUGCUACAAUGGAUGGUACAACGAGUCCCAAAACCUCGAGGUCAAGCUAAUCUCUUAGAGCCAUUCUCAGUUCUCAUUGCAGGCGGCUACUCGCCUGCAUGAAGU